rnacentral:tRNA from 1 species
UCCCUGGCUGUCCAGUGGUUAGGACUUGGCACUCUCAUUGCUGGAGCCCCAGGUUUGAUUCCUAGUCGGGGAA